rnacentral:lncRNA from 1 species
UAUAAAGGGAUGUUCUUGUGAAAAUCAUAACUUAGUUUAGGGAAGGAUAGUGUACCUGAUCAAAUCGGAAAAGAAUAUGAACCGUAAACUGAUUUCCUGCAGAAACUCAAUUCCCCUGUUAAGAAUAAGUCAGCAGAAAGAUGUGAUUAGUACAUAUUACAAUAAGUCGGAGACUUGUUUAGUUCUUCACUUACCUAACUUUUGCUAGAAAUAUGAACAAAAGAGAAAUAAACUUACCUUCGGUUUCAGAAAAAUGAACUUACCAGUGUGUUAGGCAUUGUAGACAUACGGGACAAUUUCUCCAUUACACAAGCCUUCUACAAAAGACAUUUCUCCUCCAUCAAUAUGAGCAGAUCAUUGAAUAUAUUACUAUAUCAUAUGCUGUCCAGGCUCAGCUAGACAUAGAUUAGUUUCAGCAGAUCAUUGGACAAUGUCCCCAAUAUAUCAAACUCCUUCUUAANNNNNNNNNNNNNNNNNNNNNNNNNNNNNNNNNNNNNNNNNNNNNNNNNNNNNNNNNNNNNNNNNNNNNNNNNNNNNNNNNNNNNNNNNNNNNNNNNNNNNNNNACAAGCCUCCUUAAAGACAUUUCUCCUCCAUCAAUAUGAGCAGAUCAUUGAAUAUUUUUACUAUAUCCUACGCUGUCCCAGCUCAGCUAGACGUAGAGUUUCAGCAGAUCAUUGAACAUUUUCCCCAAUAUAUAUCAUAAGCCUUCUUAAAAAGCCAUUUCUCCUCCAACAAUAUGUGCAGAUCAUUGAAUAUACUAUCCUAUGUUGUCCCAGCUCAGCUAGACAUAGAGCUUCUGCAGAUCAUUGAACAAUUUCCCCAACAUAUAUCAUAAGCUUUAUUAAAAAGCAAUUUCUCCUCCAACAAGAUGUGCAGAAAAUUGAAUAUAUUACUAUAUUAUAUGCUGUCCCAGCUCAGCUAGGCAUAGAGUUUCAGCAGAUCAUUAGACAUGCCUUCUUAAGAAGCCCUUUCUCCUCUAUCAAUAUGUGCAGAUCAUUGAAUAUGUACUAUAUCAUAUGCUGUCCAGGCUCAGCUAGACAUAGAUUUCAGCAGAUCAUUGGACACCCAAUAUAUCAUUAGACAAACCUCCAUAAAAAUACUUUUGCCUCCAAUCAAUAUGCAGAUCUUUGAACAUUAGCAUUUUAUCUUUCAGCAGAAAACCGAAUUUUUUUUCCCCUCCUCCAUCCCAUGCAGAACAUUGAAUAUUAUUACAUCAUGCUGUCCCAGCUCAGCUAGAUAUCGAGUUUCAUUGAAUUUCGCCAAUCUCUGUAACACCAUCAUUAGACAAGCCACCUUAAAAACCCAUUUCUCCUCUAGUCAAUAUGCAGAUCAUUGAACAUUAUAUCUUACAGCAGAAAACUGAAUUUUUUUUCCCUCCUCCAUCCCAUGCAGAACAUUGAAUAUUAUUACAUCAUGCUGUCCCAACUCAGCUAGAUAUCGAGUUUCAUUGAAUUUUGCCAGUCUCUAUAACACCAUCAUUAGACAAGCCUUCUUAACAAUCCGUUUCUCCUCUAGUCAAUAUGCAGAUCAUUGAACAUUAGCAUUUUAUCUUUCAGCAGAAAAUUGAAUUUUUUUCCCCUCCUCCAUCCCAUGCAGAACAUUGAAUAUUGAAAUACAUUUCUCUCCCAAUCAAUAUGCAGAUCAUUGAACAUCAUCAUUCUUAUAUUCAAGCAGAUUAUUGAACUCAUUUCUCCAUUCAUUAGGCAAAGCCUUUAAUCAUUUCAUUUUUUCCUCCAACAAUAUAUGCAGAACAUUGAAUACCAUAUGCUGUCCCAGCUCAGCUAGAUAUAGAGUCUCAGCAGACAACUUGAAUUACCUUAAACACAAGUCUUAGAGGCAUAUAUAUAUAUAUAUAAGAUAUAUAAUGAAGUUUUAUCUGAUCAUGCUUGCCAAGUUUGAUCCAAGAUAUUGAAUUCAUGAAUCUUGGAUACAUAUUUGACAAGUCUUACUUGAUCUAUAAACCACUUCAAAAUAUAUCUUUGUCUGCUUGUGUUAGGCAACAUUAUAGACGGGACAAUUUCCCCAAGUUAGAAACCGGACAUACAACAAUCAAAUGUGUUAAUGUCCCUUUCUUUUGGGUUUUCAACAGAAUGAAAAGACAAGCCUUACAUACGUGAGAUACUUUAUAUAAUGAAGUUUUAUGUGAUCAUGCUUGCCAAUUUUGAUCCAAGAUACUGAAUUCAUUAAUCUUGGAUGACAAACUUGACAAGUCUUACUUGAUUCAGAGACCACUUCAAGAUAUAUCUCUCUGUCUGCUUGUGUUAUAUAGGAAAAUUUCCCCAAGUUAGAAACCAGACAUACAACAAUCAUAUAUAUGUUGAUGUCCCUUUCUUUUGGGUUAUCAAUAAAAUCAAAAGACAAGUCUUACAUACGGAAUAUACAUUGA